rnacentral:rRNA from 1 species
CCUACGGGUGGCAGCAGUGAGGAAUAUUGGUCAAUGGACGAGAGUCUGAACCAGCCAAGUAGCGUGAAGGAUGACUGCCCUAUGGGUUGUAAACUUCUUUUAUAUGGGAAUAAAAUGUUCCACGUGUGGGAUUUUGUAUGUACCAUAUGAAUAAGGAUAGGCUAACUCCGUGCCAGCAGCCGCGGUAAUACGGAGGAUCCGAGCGUUCUCCGGAUUUAUUGGGUUUAAAGGGAGCGUAGGUGGAUUGUUAAGUCAGUUGUGAAAGUUUGCGGCUCAACCGUAAAAUUGCAGUUGACACUGGCAGUCUUGAGUACAGUAGAGGUGGGCGGAAUUCGUGGUGUAGCGGUGAAAUGCUUAGAUAUCACGAAGAACUCCGAUUGCGAAGGCAGUUCACUGGACUGCAACUGACACUGAGGCUCGAAAGUGUGGGUAUCAAACAGGAUUAGAUACCCGGGUAGUC